GGGACAGAAACAGUGGUAUAGUUUUUCAUUUUUUCAUGGAAGUAGAAGGACUUUUAGGGCUCAUCUAGAUGAGACGAGAAAAUUAGGCUUGUCCCAUAACCUUGGGGUAAACCUCAGUGUCCUCAUCUAUAAAAUAAAGAUAAUGGUAAUUUUGAGGAUUAAGUGAGAUAAUGAAUCUUAGUGCAGGGGUGAUCCAGAUUUCUUGAAUGAUAAAGAUCAUCCAUACUGAUAAUCUGAUGGUCAGAUUUCUUGAAUGAUAAAGAUUAUCCAUAUACUGUCUAUUUUUUUAACCUAAUUUCAAUCCAGCAUCUUUUAUAGUCUUUCACUAAAGCUGAUCUUGUGAAUUAAUCUUUAAGGACUUUCUAUCAUAUUUGGCCACUUCCACCUUACUUAAACACUCUGGGCUCUGUGCUUCUGUGAUCAUUUCUACUGAUUUUCUUCCUACUUUGCAGACUGCUCAUUCUCAGUCCCUUUUCACCUCUUCUACCCAACUCUUAAAUGUUGACAUUCAAGUGAGUAUAUCUGAGUUUCAUUCUUUCUAAUUCCACACUCUUAGUUGUUUGUAACUACUCACAUGAACUUCAAAUAAUAUUUAUGUGUGUCUAUGCAUUCCCACAUUUAUGCCUUCAGCCCAGGCUUCCCUACUGAACUCCAGGCCUAUAGUCCAUCUGUGUAACUGAAUCCAAUUGUAUGUCUACCGACAGUCAUCUCAAACUCAAUUAUCAACUUCUUCAGGAAAGGGGGACUCAUGUUCAUCCUGCUUACCACUCAAUCUUAGCAGGUGUGUUAGGUCAUUCUUGCAUUGAUAUAAAGAAAUUUCUGAUACUGGGUAAUUUAUAAAGAAGAGAGGUUUAAUUGGCUCACAGUUUUGCAGGCUGUACAGGAAACAUGGCACCAGCAUCUGCUUGGCUUCUGGUGAGGCCUUGGGCUGCUUACAGUUAUGGCAGAAGGCAAAGGAUGAGUUGGUGUUUCACAUGGUGAGAGCAGGAGCAGGGGUGGGGCAGUGCCAUACACUUUUAAGCAACUAGAUCUCACAAGAACUCACUCACUGUUGUGAGGACAGCACCAAGCCAUUAGGGAUCUGCCCCCGUGAUCUAUUCACCUCCUACCAGGCCUCACCUCCAACACUGGGGAUUUCAAUUUAGCAUGAGAUUAAGUGGACAGCAUCCAAAUUAUAGCAGAAGGUCUCAGCGGAGUGGUAGCACAUGAUUACUAUGUAAUGAACAUUAACUUAUUAUUAUUGUUAAUA
rnacentral:lncRNA from 1 species